GCUGGGCCUGGGGUGGCCCCUUUAUUACCCCCUACGCUGUUCCCCGGGAGCUCACUGAAUCCCCAGCUGCGGGGGAGGGAAGGGAUCGGUCUGCCUGUUUAAUGCGUGGGGAACCUGAGUCCAGGGAGGGUCAUCACUGCGGCGGCGGGUGGCUCUGCUGCCUGGCCGGGGUGUACAAAACCCCCUCCUACCCCCCGGCCACCCCAUUCCUUUGCCCGAGUCCUGAGAUUCUCCCUUCGCCCCUCUCCCCCGGUUGUGACUUGGAGGCUGGUGACAGCUCUGGGAGCCGAGGACGAGGCGCUCUGUAGGGUCACCUUCCCCUCUGGGUGAAUUUGACCGCGCACUUUUCCAGGGACCUAGAAAGCGAAGAGCAAGCCUGAAACAUCUGACCUCACAGGAUCAGAGGCCCCCAGCCCCAGAGCCAGGCAGGGAUGGGAGGGGUCUGGAAUUACUGGUUUACCAGGACUGGUUGGGGCGAGGUCCAGACCCCUUGAGAUCUCCAGGGGUCCCAGUGUACCCCCAGGAGGCUGCUAACAGAGACGCAGGGUCCAAGCAUGCCUUCACCUGAACUUCAGUUUCUGGUCGAGCCAUAGUUGUUUGUGUAUCAGAGCUGCCCUUAGUGGCUCCCAGUGUUUUCCCCAACCCAAGGCACCCCUGGGUGCCUUCCAGCCCUGCCUGCUCCCAACCAGCUAGUGACCUGCACCUCCAGGGCUCCGGAAUGUCACAGGCCCGGCCUCGGCUUCUGACUCUGUAGCCUCGAUGGCCGCCUUCACCACUCUGCUUCUCCUGCUCAUCUGUGAGAUGGGUUAAUAACAGUGCCAGCCUCGCCUGGGCUAUGGCACUGAUACUGUGCCAGUCUUGACUUAGCACAGAGUCUGGCACUCAGUAAGCGCUCAGUACAGGGUCACUGUUGUUGGAACCGGUUGACUGUUAUUACAAUUAUUUCUGAAGGACUCACCAAGGCCUAGUGAAGCCCCCUCCCAUUCCCUCCAAGCAGAGCCGUGAGAACGCUGAGCCGGGAGCAGCCUGGCUCCUCCCCGUCCCCCACUGAGCUGAGUGUUGAAAUCCUCCCAGAGAAGCUGCUGGGCAGAAAUUUCCAGUCUCCCUGGCAAAGCCCGGAAGAGUCUGGGUGCGGCUCAGAGACGCAGUUGGGCAGGCUCUGCGGGGGCCAGGGCUGGGGAAGAGCCCCCAGAUGUUCUGCAAAGGGCAGCGCCCUGAUCCUGAGCAGUACCCAGCUUACAGCUCCAACCCCAGGGCUGCUGCAGCCCAGGCAAGAGCUCAUUGUCCUGCGCUGGUCGGUGAGGGCUGGGUGGGAAGGGUGCUGGUCGUACCCCUCCUUUGGCAAGCCCCUGUACCCCAGGUGUGUGAGUGAGCCCCUGGAAGACGGGAUCACAGGGUCCCUGUGAGCAUCCCACAAGUGGGGACUCUUUGCUUUAGUGACUUCCCGAUUGUGGGGCCAUCAGGCCAUCAAGAGGCCCUCUUUGCUGAUUCCUUGGCCCCCCAGGAGGACCAGAGGCCCCCGAUCUGGGGUGGUGGGUCUCACUGAGGCUGUGGAGAAGGGGCCCAGAGAACCCACCAGGGAACUGGCAGACAGUCUGACCCUUACUUUGCUCACAGGGCUGUAUGACCGAGGGUCACAACUCGGCCUCUCUCUACCCUGUUCUCCUUAUCUGCCAAACAGACAGUGAUCUGUGAGUCUCACUCAUCAGAAGGCAGUCAGGUGCCCUGAAGUGGGCGGAGACAGGGGUCGAGUCCCAGCGUUGCCCUCCACCUGACCGUCGACCUUGGGCAAGUCUGAAUGAGAUGGAAUAGGACUGAACAGCUCCCGUAUAACUACUCCAAAAGAAAAAAAAAAAAGAAGAAAAUUUUCAAAGGAGAGAGGAGAGCUGGGAGGCACAGACGUGGGAGGCUGCAGCAGGACUGAGCCAGGAUUGGUGGACCCAGGCCACCUCUCUUGACUCCCGGCUUUCCGGCAUUUUGAGUUAUGGGCGAUCUGGCAGCAUCUUCUCAGAGACAAGUGGAGCCGAGGCUGUGGGACCUGGAGACCCUCCUCUGACCUGGAGCCUGAGCCUCCCCUGAUUGACAGCUUCAGCCUGUCCCUGCUUGCCCCAGAAGACUGUCCUUACCAAACUCCUCCCCCUUGUGGGACACAGGCUGAGCCUUAAAUCCCCUUCUGGGCUAAAUGGGGACAGUUAUCCCAGGGGCCUCCUUCUGUCCUUGAGGACAGACUGUCCCCUGUAGGAGCACCGGGCACUGUGCUGGGUGUUUUAGGGACAAGUGUCUCUUAAUCUGAAUAGAAUCCAGCAGAAAAAGGAGAAAAAAGUAUUGCUCUUCCCAAUGGACAGAUGCGGAAAAGGGGCUCAGUGUCUUGCCCAAGCUUCACAGUGCAGGUGGAGUGGGAUUCUCACCCAGGAUGGGCUCACCCGAGAGUCCUGACCACUAGGCUGUCCUGCCUUGGGCUCUUCAGGAGAAAGUCCACCCCUCCUGUCUCCUCAGAUCUCUUGCCUUUGGCCCGCUCUGGUUUCUAGAAGAGGGGCUACAGUCACCCCCCCCAAGCCAUUCUCUGCCUGGGAUGCCUUUCCUCCUCCUUCUCCCCGCCAUUUACCAGGCGAACUCCUACUUGACUGGUGGAGCCCAGCAAAACCCUGACUUCCUUCCCAGAGAGUCCCAAACUGUACCUCCUGUCCCCUGAUCUGUGUUCCCACAGAGCUCCCCAAGAGUGGGGAGGGAAAGCUCAGGGGACGUGGCUGGGACAUGAGUUCCAACCCAGCCCUGCCUGGGCAGAAGGGAGGGUACAGUCAGCUUGUUCUGGGUGCUCAGAAGGGCAGGACUGGGGCAGAGUGGACGUGAGAAGGAGGAAGUCCUUGGCUCACCCAGGAAAAGAUGGAUGGGCCACCCCUGUGACUAGUUGGCUUAGAGGCCAGGAGAAAGACAAGUUCCAGAAGGAGAGGGAAGCAAAGAUCCAGACUGUCUAGCAGUGUCUGGCUGGCUCUCCACUAGCCCAAGACGAUAGCCAGGCCUUCCCAGUGUGUGUGCAACUGGGCCUCUGUGGCAAGGCUGGGGGUGGAGGAUUAUGUUCUGUGCACAGGAGCCCUAGACGCCUACGCCCAGUGAGCAUGUGCACAGAGAGACAAAAGCCUCCCCUGAGAGCCCAGAGACCCCCACCCUGGGGUGGAGACAAGCAGCAUUGGGAGCAGAGUGGUGUGGGUUCUUCCUAAACUCAGAAUCCCCAGUGCUGAGAACAGUAACUGGCACACAGUGGGCUCCUGCACAUUGGUUGGAUGGAUGACUGAGUGACUUCCUGAUCCCAGGCCCAAGGAGGAGGACCUGACGUUUGUCUGCCUGCUCCACUGUGAGGCAAGACUGCUUGGGUUCUGUGAGCCUGGGAGAGGCGGGUGUGCAGGCAGGCUUCAAAGGACCAGGAGGCAAGGGAUGGGGACCAGGAGCACCAUGGUGAAGCCGCUCUGUCUCUGGUGAAGCACUCUCUGAUCCCUGGGUAUUCACAGCACUGAGGAACUUUCAGGUACCCCCAGAAUCCCCAGCGGGGACCCCCACACACAAUUCCACGGUGGUCAUUAAAGCUGGGUCUGUGGACUCAAAUGUGUCCCUAGCUAGACCAACGCCUGUUCUGGUGUGCUAAGGGGCCUGAUGGAGCCCCCGAGGCACUGGUUUGCCAGGCCACCCACUUCCAGGGGUGACUUUGCACCAGCCCCAGCCUCUCUCCAGGCCUGUUUCCCCACUUAUACAGUCAGAUCCUGUGACCCCCUCUCCCUGCCCGAGGUCAGACCUCGCGCACAGCUGCCUUCCCCCUCUGACUGGCAAACAGCCC
ensembl:lncRNA